CCUACGGGCGGCAGCAGUGGGGAAUAUUGCACAAUGGGGGAAACCCUGCUGCAGCGACGCCGCGUGAGUGAAGAAGUAUCUCGGUACGUAAAGCUCUAUCAGCAGGAAGGAACAUGACUGUACCUGACUAAGAAGCCUAGGCUACCUACGUGCCAACAGCCGCGGUAAUACGUAGGGGGCAAGCGUUAUCCAGAUGUACUGGGUGUAAAGGGAGCGUAGACGGCGCUGCAAGUCCGGAGUGAAAGCCCAUGGCUUAACCAUGGUACUGCACUGGAAACUGUAGAGCUAGAGUGCGGGAGAGGCAGGCGGAAUUACAAGUGUAGCGGUGACAUGCGUAGAUAUUAGGAGGAACACCGGCGGCGAAGGCGGCCUGCUGGGCCGUAACUGACGUUGAGGCUCGAAAGCGUGGGGAGCAAACAGGAUUAGAUACCCGUGUAGUC
rnacentral:rRNA from 1 species